rnacentral:rRNA from 1 species
AACGAACGCUGGCGGCGUGGAUAAGACAUGCAAGUCGAACGGGACAGACCGAGUAGCAAUAUUUGGAAUGUUCAGUGGCGAACGGGUGCGUAACACGUGGAUAACAUUCCGGAAAGCAGGGAAUAGCCCAGGGAAACUUGGAUUAAUACCGCAUGGGGCCGCAAGGCUAAAGACGGGGACCGCAAGGCCUGUCACUUUCCGAUUGGUCCGCGGCCUAUCAGCUAGUUGGCGGGGUAAUGGCCCACCAAGGCUACGACGGGUAGCUGGGCUUAGAGGACGACCAGCCACACUGGAACUGAGACACGGUCCAGACACCUACGGGUGGCAGCAGUCGAGAAUCUUUCACAAUGGGGGCAACCCUGAUGGAGCGACGCCGCGUGGAGGUUAAGGUCUUCGGAUUGUAAACUCCUGUCAUGCGAGAACAAGGUACUCAGGCUAAUAACCUGAUUGUUUGAUGGUACCGCAAGAGGAAGAGACGGCUAACUCUGUGCCAGCAGCCGCCGUAAGAC